rnacentral:rRNA from 1 species
CACGCCCUAAACGAUGUCAACUAGCUGUUGGGGGUUUGAAUCCUUGGUAGCGUAGCUAACGCGAGAAGUUGACCGCCUGGGGAGUNACGCGAAAAACCUUACCUGGUCUUGACAUGUACGGAACUUGCCAGAGAUGGCUUGGUGCUCGAAAGAGAGCCGUAACACAGGUGC